AUGGCCAAAUAUUUUUGGAGCAGCUGUCUUGAUAAGAAGUCAUUGCAUUGGGUGUCAUGGAAGGAUCUGGCAACACCCAAGUGCAGGGGGGGCAUGGGAUUUCGUGAUCCUCACUUAUUUAACCUUGCAAUGCUUGGGAAGCACGGAUGGCGGUUUUUGACUAACUCGAAUUCCCUAUGCGCAAGGGUUUUGAAAGGAAGGUAUUUCUCCGAUACUGAUUUUAUGCAAGCCUCUGCACCCAAGUCGGCUUCUGCCACUUGGAAGGCGAUUGUGGUGGGGAGGGAAGCGCUAAGACCGGGGCUGAUUACCCGUGUUGGAGAUGGCAGUUCUAUCUCGAUCUGGACUGAUAAAUGGAUUCCAGGAACGAUUAGUAUGACACCUAUUUCACGACCACCGAACACUAAUCUUCUUCUAGUGUCGGAGCUCAGUGAUUCUCAGAACUGGACGUGGAGACAGGACUUGAUCAGAGAAAAUUUCGCUGCUUCUGAUGUUGCGACCAUUCUUAACAUCCCCAUCCGGUCGGGCGAUGGCAAUGAUUUUCUUGCUUGGGCAUUCAAAAAAACAGGCAACUACACUGUCAAAACAACGUAG
rnacentral:rRNA from 1 species